CGUGUAGGCGGGAAGACAGGUCAGAUGUGAAAUGUCGGGGCUCAACCCCGGAACUGCAUUUGAAACCGUUUUUUCUUGAGUAUCGGAGAGGCAGGCGGAAUUCCUAGUGUAGCGGUGAAAUGCGUAGAUAUUAGGAGGAACACCAGUGGCGAAGGCGGCCUGCUGGAACGACAACUGACGCUGAGGCGCGAAAGCGUGGGUAGCAAACA
rnacentral:rRNA from 1 species